GGGCUUGUGGUUUAGUGGUAUAAUACUCCCUUAGCAUCUUCAAGAGCUUUCUCUAAGCAUCUGAAAACUUGGGAGUGGUCCGGGGUUCGAUUCCCCGCGAGUCCA